rfam:Ornithorhynchus anatinus chromosome 2, whole genome shotgun sequence.
CCCCUCUCAGGGUUGCACCUUGAGAAUUUCCAGUAUUCUACCAGUCUCAGCUAUGGGAGGGAGAAUCAAGCAGAGGCUUACCUAUUCCAUUCCUAGCUUAGGCAGUGGCUAGUGAGUGGAAGGUAAUCUCCUGCAAGU